ACGCUCGACACCUACGGGGGGCAGCAGUGGGGAAUAUUGCACAAUGGGGGAAACCCUGAUGCAGCGACGCCGCGUGAGCGAAGAAGUAUUUCGGUAUGUAAAGCUCUAUCAGCAGGGAAGAAACUGACGGUACCUGACUAAGAAGCACCGGCUAAAUACGUGCCAGCAGCCACGGUAAUCUGAGCGGCUGGCAAGGC
rnacentral:rRNA from 1 species